rnacentral:ncRNA from 1 species
CUCGGGAGGCUCAAAAUGGGCUCAUUUGGCAGAAAUGCCUCAUUGAUAUCUCGUCAAAUUCGGUGAAGCCUUUGCGUUUUGCAUGGUAACGCCGAGCCAAGCCGAGCACUAAAAUUAGUACUCGGAAGGUGUAGAGACUAGACGGCGAGCACCCUACUUUUAAAAGAGGGUGAAGGCAUAGUCCAGACCACAAAAGGAAUUUCUUG